AAGACCUUGCGCUUUUGGAGCGGCCGAUGCCUGAUUAGCUUGUUGGUAAGGUAAAAGCUUACCAAGGCUUCGAUCAGUAGCUGGUCUGAGAGGACGGCCAGCCACACUGGGACUGAGACACGGCCCAGACUCCUACGGGAGGCAGCAGUGGGGAAUUUUGGACAAUGGGGGCAACCCUGAUCCAGCCAUGCCGCGUGAGUGAAGAAGGCCUUCGGGUUGUAAAGCUCUUUCAGCCGGAACGAAACGGUUGCGGUUAAUACCCGUGAUUACUGACGGUACCGGAAGAAGAAGCACCGGCUAACUACGUGCCAGCAGCCGCGGUAAUACGUAGGGUGCGAGCGUUAAUCGGAAUCACUGGGCGUAAAGCGUGCGCAGGUGGUUUUGUAAGUCAGAUGUGAAAGCCCCGGGCUCAACCUGGGAACU
rnacentral:rRNA from 1 species